rnacentral:rRNA from 1 species
GCCCCAGUAACGGCGAGUGAAGCGGCAAAAGCUCAAAUUUGAAAUCCUGCGGGAAUUGUAAUUUGAAGGUUUCGUGGUCUGAGUCGGCCGCGCCCAAGUCCAUUGGAACAUGGCGCCUGGGAGGGUGAGAGCCCCGUAUGGCGCACGCCGACUCUUUGUACACCGCGGCUCCGACGAGUCGAGUUGUUUGGGAAUGCAGCUCUAAGUGGGUGGUAAAUUCCAUCUAAAGCUAAAUAUUGGCGAGAGACCGAUAGCGAACAAGUACAGUGAUGGAAAGAUGAAAAGCACUUUGAAAAGAGAGUGAAACAGCACGUGAAAUUGUUGAAAGGGAAGGGCUUGCAAGCAGACACGGUUUUACCGGGCCAGCGUCGAAAAGGGGGGAGGAACAAGAACUCGAGAAUGUGGCGCGCACCUUCGGGCGCGCGUGUUAUAGCUCGUGUUGACGCCUCCAUCCCUUUUCGAGGCCUGCGAUUCUAGGACGCUGGCGUAAUGGUUGCAAGCCGCCCGUCUUGAAACACGGACCAAGGAGUCUAACGUCUAUGCGAGUGUUUGGGUGCAAAACCCCAGCGCGGAAUGAAAGUAAGAGGUUGGAGCCGCAAGGCGCACAAUCGACCGACCCUGAAGUGCUCGGACGGGUUUGAGUAGGAGCAUAGCUGUUGGGACCCGAAAGAUGGUGAACUAUGC